rnacentral:rRNA from 1 species
CCUACGGGAGGCAGCAGUGGGGAAUAUUGCACAAUGAGGGAAACCUUGAUGCAGCGACGCCGCGUGAAGGAAGAAGUAUUUCGGUAUGUAAACUUCUGUUAGCAGGGAAGAAAAUUACCGUACCUCACUAAUUACCGCCUGCUAAAUACUUGCCAGCAGCCGCUGUAAUACUUAGGGGGCAAGCGUUAUCCGGUUCGACUGGGUGUAAAGGUAUCCUGGGCUGUUUAGCAAGUCAGAAGUGAAAACCCGGGGGUCAAAUCCGGGAUCGCUUUUGAGACUAAUGAACUAGAUGGAGUGAGAGGUAAGUGGAAUUCCAGGUGAAGCGGUGAAAUGCGUAGAUAUUAGGAAGAACACCAGAGGCGAAGGCGGCUUACGGGGCUGUAAAUGACGCUGAGGGUCGAAAGCGUGGGGAGCAAACAGGAUUAGAUACCCGGGUAGUC